ensembl:misc_RNA Metazoa_SRP Metazoan signal recognition particle RNA
GCCAGGUGUGGUGGCUCAUGCCUAUAGUCCCAGCUCCUCGGGAGGGUGAGACAGGAGGAGGAUUGCUUGAGCCCAGGAGUUCUGGGCUGUAGUGCACAGUGCUGAUUGGGUGUCCACAAUAAGUUCAGCAUCAAUAUGGUGACCCCCUGGAAGUGGGAGACCACCAAGUUGCCCAAGGAGAAGUGAACUAACACAGGUUGCAGAUGGAGCAGGCCAAAACUCCCAUGCUGAUCAGUAGUGGGAUUGCACCUGUAAAUAGCCACUAUACUCCAGCCUGGGCAACACAGCAAGACUAUUGUCUCA